AGUGGGAUAGCUGGGUCGAAUGGUGAUUCCAUUCCAGGUUUUCUAAGGAAUCUCCAUAUUGCUUUCCAGAUUGGCUGCACCAAUUUGCAGUCCCAUUAGCAAU
rnacentral:pre_miRNA from 1 species